rnacentral:rRNA from 1 species
AGUGAACGCUGGCGGUAGGCCUAACACAUGCAAGUCGAACGGCAGCACAGUAAGAGCUUGCUCUUACGGGUGGCGAGUGGCGGACGGGUGAGGAAUACAUCGGAAUCUACUUUUCGUGGGGGAUAACGUAGGGGAACUUACGCUAAUACCGCCUACGACCUACGGGUGAAAGCCGGGGAACUUCCGACCUUGCCCGGAUUAAUUGGCCGAUGUCGGAUUAGCUAGUUGGCGGGGUAAAGGCCCACCAAGGCGACGAUCCGUAGCUGGUCUGAGAGGAUGAUCAGCCACACUGGAACUGAGACACGGUCCAGACUCCUACGGGAGGCAGCAGUGGGGAAUAUUGGACAAUGGGCGCAAGCCUGAUCCAGCCAUACCGCGUGGGUGAAGAAGGCCUUCGGGUUGUAAAGCCCUCUUGUUGGGAAAGAAAAGCAGCAGGUUAAUACCCCGCUGUUCUGACGGUACCCAAAGAAUAAGCACCGGCUAACUUCGUG